GACGAAGAACGCAGCGAAAUGCGAUAAGUAAUGUGAAUUGCAGAAUUCAGUGAAUCAUCGAAUCUUUGAACGCACAUUGCGCCCGUCAGUAUUCUGGCGGGCAUGCCUGUUCGAGCGUCAUUACGCCCCUCAAGUCCCCUGUGGACUUGGUGUUGGGGAUCGGCGAGGCUGGUUUUCCAGCACAGCCGUCCCUUAAAUUAAUUGGCGGUCUCGCCGUGGCCCUCCUCUGCGCAGUAGUAAAACACUCGCAACAGGAGCCCGGCGCGGUCCACUGCCGUAAAACCCCCCAACUUUUUAUAGUUGACCUCGAAUCAGGUAGGACUACCCGCUGAACUUAAGCAUAUCAAUAAGCGGAGGA
rnacentral:misc_RNA from 1 species